GUUCCAAAGGUCUGCAUCAGUGUCUUGUAGGCUAUGUGUAUAAGCCAGGAGAUGCUAAAUGUGUUUAUGUUAAUUCACGGUCAAUUACUGUCAAUAACCGUGAGACCGGCAGUUAUUUGCUUGACAAUCACCGGUUGAUGACUGCCACAGCCUUAUCCACGCAUUAACCCUAUCCCUGAUUAACCCUACGAUUUGUUGUUUUAGCCUAGCAUUAGUGUAGCAUUGCAUUUUUUGUCCACCAGUAGUUACUGUAGGUAGUUAGAAUGCAGGUAUUUUCACUACAUUAGUAGUUACAAUGCAGGUAUUUUCACUACAUUAGUAGUUACAAUGCAGUUAUUUUCACUACAUUAGUAGUUACAAUGCAGGUAUUUUCACUACAUUAGUAGUUAGAAUGCAGGUAUUUUCACUACAUUAGUAGUUACAAUGCAGUUAUUUUCACUACAUUAGUAGUUACAAUGCAGGUAUUUUCACUACAUUAGUAGUUAGAAUGCAGGUAUUUUCACUACAUUAGUAGUAACAAUGCAGGUAUUUUCACUACAUUAGUAGUUACAAUACAGGUACUUUCACUACAUUAGUAGUUAGAAUGCAGGUAUGUUCACUACAUUAGUAGUUAGAAUGCAGGUAUUUUCACUACAUUAGUAGUUAGAAUGCAGGUAUGUUCACUACAUUAGUAGUUAGAAUGCAGGUAUUUUCACUACAUUAGUAGUUAGAAUGCAGGUAUUUUCACUACAUUAGUAGUUACAAUGCAGUUAUUUUCACUACAUUAGUAGUUAGAAUGCAGGUAUUUUCACUACAUUAGUAGUUACAAUGCAGGUAUUUUCACUACAUUAGUAGUUACAAUGCAGGUCUAGUUACAAUGUAGAUAUUUUCAUUAAUUAAUAGUUAGAAUGCAGGUUAGAAAGAGACUGUUAUGUCAUGCCUUGUUCAACGUUUACUCAAGGCCUUGCUUUGGUUAAUUUUAAUUUUUUUAUCAUCUAUUUUUUACUUAACACUUAUUUUUCUUAAAACGGCAUUGUUGGUUAA